CGCGUAGGUGGUUUGAUAAGGGUGUGGUGAAAGCCCGGGGCUCAACCCCGGGUCUGCCGUGCCGACUGUCAAACUCGAGGGCUGUAGAGGCAGACGGAAUUCCGGGUGUAGCGGUGGAAUGCGUAGAGAUCCGGGAGGAAGACCGGUGGCGAAGGCGGUCUGCUGGGCAGUUUCUGACACUGAUGCGCGACAGCGUGGGGAGCAAACA
rnacentral:rRNA from 1 species